UGUUAGAUCCACUGCAAAGGCUCUUCUCAUCCAGGAUCUCAUGUGAGCCCCACAGAAGCCCUGUGAGUUAGUCAAAAAAAAAAAAAACCUCCCAAGUAGCUGGGAUUACAGGCACCCAUCAUCAUGCCCGGCUAAUUUUUGUAUUUUUAUAGAGACAGGGUUUCAUCAUGUUGGCCAGGCUGGUCUCGAACUCCUGAUCUCAAGUGAUCUGCCCACCUUGGCCUCCCAAAGUGCUGGAAUUACAGGCUUCAGCCAGCAUGCCCGGCAUUAAUGACUAUCUUUUCUGAUAGGCUAUACGUUUUGUGAGGGAAGUGCCUGGAUCUGUUGUCUCACCAUUAUUUCCCCACAGAAUACUGGCUGAAUGAAUGAAUGAAUGGAUGAACAGAACCAACCAUAUCGUAAGUUACUUUUAACGGCUUAUUCAUUCAUUUAUAUCUAUUGUAAGCCCAUUACCUGCUAUGAACCAUUCUGUGUGUUAAAUAUGAGACUCCUUUCAAUGUUGCUACAUCAACAUGAUGUGCCACAUUUAUUUAACCAGUGUACUCUUCAUGGGCAUUUAGGUUGUUUCCAUUAUUUUAUUAUUAUAAACAAUGUUUCAAUGAACAUCUUUAUACAAAUCAUUGAUCC
rnacentral:lncRNA from 1 species